CUCUCCUUAGCUCAGCUGGAAGAGCGUGAGACUGUAAUGGAUCAACUCGUGUGCCUCGUGUCAUUACGUGGGUAUCUCAAGGUCCCUGGUUCGAACCCGGGAGGGGAGA